CUAGCCUCUCAGGGGUUGCACCCUCAACCUUAUAAACCAUGCUAUCACACUCUCACCACACAAUGUGGGACUAUUCCCAACAAUCUCCCCCUCACACAUUGUGAGCCGAGAUUUGUCUGAGAAUGCACUGGCCAACCUGGCUUUGAUACCAAUUGUUGGAACCGGACCGCCGACACACGGCGUGUCCGUCCGGGAUACCAAAUGUUGGAACCGGACCGCCGACACACGGCGUGUCCGUCGGGACCGCCCGCACACACGGUGCGCCCACCCAGGCUGUCGGGCCGCGACACACGCGCCCGCACGUAUAGCAGCGGGCUUUAGGUCUCUUGGGCCAACACUCCCCCCAAAAAGCUAGCCUGAUAGGGGGUUGCACCCUCAACCAUAUAAACCAUGCUUUUCCACUCUCACCAGACAAUGUGGGACUAUUCCCAACAAUCUCCCCCUCACACAUUGUGAGCCGAGAUUUGUCUUGAGAAUGCACUGGGCCAACCUGGCGCUGAUACCAAAUGUUGGAACCGAACCGCCGACACACGGCGUGUCCGUCGGGACCGCCCGCACACACGGUGCGCCCACCCAGGCUGUCGGGCCGCGACACACGCGCCCGCACGUAUAGCAGCGGGCUUUAGGUCUCUUGGGCCAACACUCCCCCCAAAAAG
rnacentral:lncRNA from 1 species